rnacentral:rRNA from 1 species
UGCAAGUCGAGCGGCAGCGCGGGGGCAACCCUGGCGGCGAGCGGCGAACGGGUGAGUAAUGCAUCGGAACGUACCCUGGAGUGGGGAUAACGCCGCGAAAGCGGCGCUAAUACCGCAUAUGCUCUGAGGAGGAAAGUGGGGGACCGCAAGGCCUCACGCUCUGGGAGCGGCCGAUGUCCGAUUAGCUAGUUGGUGGGGUAAAGGCUUACCAAGGCGACGAUCGGUAGCUGGUCUGAGAGGAUGAUCAGCCACACUGGGACUGAGACACGGCCCAGACUCCUACGGGAGGCAGCAGUGGGGAAUUUUGGACAAUGGGGGCAACCCUGAUCCAGCCAUGCCGCGUGAGUGAAGAAGGCCUUCGGGUUGUAAAGCUCUUUUGGUCGGGAAGAAAGCGCCUUGCCUAAUACGCGAGGUGGUUGACGGUACCGGCAGAAUAAGCACCGGCUAACUACGUG